GACGAACGCUGGCGGCGUGCUUAACACAUGCAAGUCGAACGGAAAGGCCCUGCUUUUGUGGGGUGCUCGAGUGGCGAACGGGUGAGUAACACGCGAGUAACCUGCCCUUGACUUUGGGAUAACUUCAGGAAACUGGGGCUAAUACCGGAUAGGAGCUCCUGCUGCAUGGGGGGGGUUGGAGAGUUUCGGCGGUUUGGGAUGGACUAGCGGCUUAUCAGCUUGUUGGUGGGGUAGUGGCUUACCAAGGCUUUGACGGGUAGCCCGCCUGGGAGGGUGGCCGGCGUCCUUGGGCCUGAGGUACGGCCCAGACUCCUACGGGCCGCAGCAGUGGGGAAUAUUGCACAGUGGGCGGGAGCCUGAUGCAGCAACGCCGCGUGCGGGAUGCCGGCCUUCGGGUUGUGAACCGCUUUCGCCUGUGACGAAGCGUGAGUGACGGUAAUGGGUAAAGAAGCACCGGCUAACUACGUG
rnacentral:rRNA from 1 species